rnacentral:rRNA from 1 species
CCUACGGGAGGCAGCAGUGGGGGAUAUUGCACAAUGGAGGAAACUCUGAUGCAGCGACGCCGCGUGAGGGAAGACGGUCUUCGGAUUGUAAACCUCUGUCUUUGGGGAAGAAAAUGACGGUAUACAAAGAGGAAGCUCCGGCUAACUACGUGCCAGCAGCCGCGGUAAUACGUAGGGAGCGAGCGUUGUCCGGAAUUACUGGGUGAAAAGGGAGCGUAGGCGGGGGAGAAAGUUGAAUGUUAAAUCUACCGGCUUAACUGGUAGCUGCGUUCAAAACUUCUUGUCUUGAGUGAAGUAGAGGCAGGCGGAAUGCCUAGUGUAGCGGUGAAAUGCGUAGAUAUUAGGAGGAACACCAGUGGCGAAGGCGGCCUGCUGGGCUUUAACUGACGCUGAGGCUCGAAAGCGUGGGGAGCAAACAGGAUUAGAUACCCUAGUAGUC